rnacentral:rRNA from 1 species
UGCAGUCGAGCGGACCGACGGGAGCUUGCUCCCUUAGGUCAGCGGCGGACGGGUGAGUAACACGUGGGUAACCUGCCUGUAAGACUGGGAUAACUCCGGGAAACCGGGGCUAAUACCGGAUGCUUGAUUGAACCGCAUGGUUCAAUCAUAAAAGGUGGCUUUUAGCUACCACUUACAGAUGGACCCGCGGCGCAUUAGCUAGUUGGUGAGGUAACGGCUCACCAAGGCGACGAUGCGUAGCCGACCUGAGAGGGUGAUCGGCCACACUGGGACUGAAACACGGCCCAGACUCCUACGGGAGGCAGCAGUAGGGAAUCUUCCGCAAUGGACGAAAGUCUGACGGAACAACGCCGCGUGAGUGAUGAAGGUUUUCGGAUCGUAAAACUCUGUUGUUAGGGAAGAACAAGUACCGUUCGAAUAGGGCGGCACCUUGACGGUACCUAACCAGAAAGCCACGGCUAACUACGUGCCAGCAGCCGCGGUAAUACGUAGGUGGCAAGCGUUGUCCGGAAUUAUUGGGCGUAAAGCGCGCGCAGGCGGUUUCUUAAGUCUGAUGUGAAAGCCCCCGGCUCAACCGGGGAGGGUCAUUGGAAACUGGGGAACUUGAGUGCAGAAGAAGAGAGUGGAAUUCCACGUGUAGCGGUGAAAUGCGUAGAGAUGUGGAGGAACACCAGUGGCGAAGGCGACUCUCUGGUCUGUAACUGACGCUGAAGCGCGAAAGCGUGGGGAGCGAACAGGAUUAGAUACCCUGGUAGUCCACGCCGUAAACGAUGAGUGCUAAGUGUUAGAGGGUUUCCGCCCUUUAGUGCUGCAGCAAACGCAUUAAGCACUCCGCCUGGGGAGUACGGUCGCAAGACUG